GUCUGCGUGGUCCUUCCCCUCCUGUUUUUCAGCGACCCGCUCCGCUCCUUCCUUGGCUCUCCUUUUGGACCAACUCAUUUGCUUACUGAUCUAGGUGGAGCCCUCGGAACCCAUUUCUGUCCUUCCCCUAAGGCAGGGGUCGGCAAACUUUUGAGAUGGAAGAGCCGCCCGGGGUCGGCAAACUGCGGCUUGCGAGAGGUUCUUUGGACAGAGUUCUUUCCGAGAGAGAAUAUAAGUGAACUUCCUGAAGAUCUGACAUAUCAAAGGCACAUGAACCAUACAUAGAAUUCAAACCUUUAAGUGGAAACAUAUAAAGGCCAAUUCCACGUCUUCAGUCAGAAGUCAGAGAGCAGAAAGGAGGUCUGUCGGUGAUACCAGAGGUGGGAGCUAGUGGCUGCAGCCAGGGACAAAAGCAGAAUUCUAACAUCUGCUCCCUACAUCUGCCAUUGAUUGUGUUGACCUUUGAUCUAUUUAUAAAAUGAAGAUAAUCAUUCUUGCUUUUUCUCGAGGUUGAACUUCGUUAAUUACUCAUUUUUAAAUGCUUUGAGAUCUUCAACAUGAAAGGCAGCUUGGCCUUAUUUAAACAGCUCUCCCAAUAGGUAGAUGGCCCAGCAACAUCUGUCAAUACAACACAGGAAUCUGAUCUCCAUUUUACCAGAAAGUGAGGCCCAGGAAGAUGGAUGUGUUCACCCGGAGUUGUAAGCUGCUGACAGACAGGGAGAACCCCCUUCAUCUCUGACUUCAAGCUUGCAGGAAUGAGAAAUCUCAGGGCAGCCUUGUUUCAUCAAGAUGUAACACUACACAGAGGUUCCUCGUCUCUAGGGUUUCAUCUCUGCCUGAGGAAAGCAUGUGGCUGCACUGUGCCCGCUGCAACGUGAGCCCACCAGAGAGAACAGCUAGAGCCACAGGGGCCGCUGGCAGCGGCCUCUCCCCGGAAGACCCAAAAGAAACUUUGCUGGGACAUGUAAUAGGAGAAGGUGGGCUGAACUAGAAAGCAGCAUCUGCAGGGCUCCUCUGGAGGCUCACCUUUUCAACCCAGAGAUCUGCGAAAGACGGAAUGGGAUGGAGAGGGCUGAGAUCUCUGUGUGACAGGUCCGUAAUGCAGCAUCCGAGGGUUGACUUGACUCCUACUGUGGCUGCUGGAACCAGCAAUAACAUGUGGUGGUUCGAGGAGCCAGAAGACCAGGCUUUCAAAUCUAACGCAAAACGUACCAGCGGUGCAAUUUGAUCACUAAAUCUCUCUGAGCCUCAGCGCCUCGACUGUGGGAGGGGAUAAUCAGAACACCAACUUGUCAGAGUUGUUAGGCAGAUUAAAGGAGAAAAGGCAUGUGACAGCGAUGCCUCUGAUGGAAGAGUUUCAAUCAAUACUCAUUAAAAAGAUUAAAACACUAAAAACUCAUUUAAGAUUGAGCAGAGCUCACCCCCUUUACUUUUUAAAGCAUAUAUCCUCUUCAUUCUUAAAGUAAUACUUGUACAUGAUAAAAACAAACAAACAAACAAGCAAGCAAAAAACACAAUAGUAUGAAAGAGGAUACAGUGGAAAAUGAGCAUGUCUGCCAUUGGAACCUAGUGUCACCCAUUUCUCCUCCCUGGUGGCAAUGAAGAUUUCCAGGUUCUGGGGGUAUCUUUCCAGAGAUAUUCCCUGCAUGCAUAAGGAAUUUUGUGGAUUUUAAACUGUGACUCCUUUUUAUACUGAUAACAUGAUAUAUACAUUCUACUUAUUAUACUUUGUAUAUUUUCACUAAACAAUGUAUCUUGAAAUUGUCUAUCAGUAUAUAGAGGUACCUCAUUCUUUUUAAGGCUGCAUAGUAUUACACUGUAUUUAUUUAGUCCUCUGUGGAUAGAUAUUUAGGUUUGUAUUCGUUUUCUAUGGGUGCUGUAACAAAUUACUAUGAAUUUAGUGGCUUAAAACAACACAUAUCUAUUACCUUACAGUUCAGAAGUCCGAAAUGGGUCUUGAUGAACUAAAAUCAAGGUGGGGCAGGAUUGCGUUCCUUUGGACAUUCUAGGGGUGAAUCUCUGUCCUGGCCUUUCUAGCUUCUAGAGAUCACUUGCAUUCCUUGGCUUCGUCCCUUUACUUCAUCUUGGAAGCCAGCAACUGUAGGUAGAGUUUUUCUCACACCACAUCAUUCUGGCUCUCCGGUUCUGCUUCCUUCUUUCACUUUUAAGGACCCUUGUGAUUACAAUGAGCUGACUGGGAUAAUCUAGGAUAAUCUCCCUAUUUUAAGAUCAGCUGUUUAGUAAUCUUAAUCCCAUCUGCAACUUUAAUUCCCCUUGGCCAUGCAUAGUCACAGGUUCUGGGGAGUAGAAUGUGGACUUUUAUUUUUUUUGGUGGAGGGGGGGAGGUAUUCUGCCUAUCACAAGGAUAUUUCCUGUCUUUUGGUGUUACAAACAGAACUGAUAAAUGUCCUUGUGUGUCACUUCUUACCUGUGAGUAUAUAUGUAAUAUAAAGUCUGAGAAGUGGACUGUCGUCUAUGUAAAAGGGCAUGUGUUUUAAUUUUUUUGGAAGGUAUUAUCAAAUUUUGCUCCAAAGGGAUUGGACCAAUUUAUUAGUUCAAGUUAAAAAAAUAAAUUAUAUUUUUAGAGCAAUUUUAGGUUUACAGAAAAAUUGACCAGAAAGUAGAGUUCCCACAGACCUCCCUGCCCUUCCAUAGUUUCACAUAUUAUUUACAUGUUGUAUUCAUGUGAUAUAUUUGUUACAAUUGAUGAGCCAGUGUUGAUCUAUUAUUAUGAACUAAAGUACACAGUUUACAUUAAGGCUUGCUCUUGGUGAUCUAUAUUCUGUGGGUUUUGACAAAUGUAUAAUAACAUGUAUCCACCAUUGUAUAUCAUACAAAGUAGUUUCACAGCCCUAAAAUUCUUCUGUGCUCUACUUAUUGAUCCCCCUCUCCCUCACCCCGAACCCUAACACAGUCAUAUUUUUACUGUCUCCAUUCAGUUGGAAUCAUACAGCAUAUAGCCUUUUCAGAUGACCUUCCCUCACUUAGGAAUAUACAUUUAAGAUAGCUUCAUGUCUUUCUGGGGCUUGAUAGCUCAUUUCUUUUAAUUGCUAAAUAAUAUUCCAUUGUAUGGAUGUACCAGAUUAUUUAUCC